CCGUUUGGAUACAGCUUAUUGUUGCUGAAACUGAAAACUGAAAACUGAAAACACUAUAGCAAAUAAGUAGGAAAACGCGUGUGAUAAAUUUAGCUGAAAGUACUGUAGCGCUGCUGAAAUUACUGUAGCAUAUAAAUACCAAAAUUUUACUCUGAUUUUCUUUUCCACUCCUCACCGUACCCUAGCUAAGCCUCUGAAGCGGAGAGUUCCACGCCCAUCCGAGAUUGAUGAAGGAAGACCUUCAUCAGUCCGACGCCGGCGAAGAGCCCAGGUGAGAAAUCCAUCUAUCGGAAGACAACACCAGUCCGACGCCGGCGUCUUCUCUCCUUCCAGAAACCCAUUUCACCCUUUUCCCUCCGUCCCUCGAGCUCCGACCCAUGACACAUCUCUUCCCAUAAAUAUAUGGGAAUGUAAAUUUUUCGAUUAGCAAGAUUUUUGGUUUUAUCUGCAAAUGGAUGUCAUAUUACCCAGUACUGAAGUGCCCAUAAUUUAAUUGUUUCAGUUAACCAUUGAAAGUGUUCAGAAGGCUGGCAAUGGUUGCUCGGAAACUUUGCAAAGGAAGGUAGAUUCAUUCAUACUUUCAUUAUGGAAAAGUUUGCCAUUAUAAAAUUCGUAACAUAAGCCCCCGAGAAAAAAAGACCACACUCACACCAAGCCAAGGUUUGAUCAGAGAAACACAGAGAGAGAAAGAGAACAGGUUUUUCAAAUUCUUCAAAGUCCAAGUACUUCUCUGCAAAGCUAAAAUGGUGAAAAGUUGAGAGCUUUGAAGUUUGAUGAGUCGAUGCAUGAGAGUGAUUAGCUUCUACCUAGCGAUUGAAGAAGAGAUCAUCUUACUUUUCGAGAUGAUGUAUAUUUCCUAUGUUUGUGUCUUUGCUUCAGCCUUCUCCAAUUUUCGAAGAAAGUUGUUUGAUUUGAAUGUUGAUGACAAAUAUUUGUGGGCACAAGCUUUGACCGGUUUGCAAACUAGCAUUAAUAGCGAAAUUAGAAAUUUAUAUUCAACUGGAAGAUUUACAGUUUUGAAAGAGCUCGAAGCAGUUAAUACAAGUGUAAAGAAAUUGUAUCCCAUGAUCCAAGAUGGUGUGGACUUUCAGAGGGACUAGAUCUUCGUACAAACCAAUAUGAUGGCUUUUUUCAUGUAGUUUUAAUUGGGCGUGAUGCUUUGCUCUAUAAUGUUAGACAGAGUAGUAGUGUCUCUGACCCAAAGCUAGGUUGCAAAGUAGUAGAAAGAGUACAAUCUUAAUUAGUGGGGAUAGCUAAAAUUUGUUUAGGGCUUCAUGUAGAUUCUUUUGUAUUUGAUAUUAUUCUAUUGAUUCGUUUCUAUUU